CCUAGCGGCGGACGGGUGAGUAAUGCUUAGGAAUCUGCCAUUUAGUGGGGGACAACAUUCCGAAAGGAAUGCUAAUACCGCAUACGUCCUACGGGAGAAAGCAGGGGAUCUUCGGACCUUGCGCUAAAUGAUGAGCCUAAGUCGGAUUAGCUAGUUGGUGGGGUAAAGGCCUACCAAGGCGACGAUCUGUAGCGGGUCUGAGAGGAUGAUCCGCCACACUGGGACUGAGACACGGCCCAGACUCCUACGGGAGGCAGCAGUGGGGAAUAUUGGACAAUGGGCGCAAGCCUGAUCCAGCCAUGCCGCGUGUGUGAAGAAGGCCUUUUGGUUGUAAAGCACUUUAAGCGAGGAGGAGGCUACCUAGACUAAUACUCUAGGAUAGUGGACGUUACUCGCAGAAUAAGCACCGGCUAACUCUGUGCCAGCAGCCGCGGUAAUACAGAGGGUGCGAGCGUUAAUCGGAUUUACUGGGCGUAAAGCGUGCGUAGGCGGCUUUUUAAGUCGGAUGUGAAAUCCCCGAGCUUAACUUGGGAAUUGCAUUCGAUACUGGGGAGCUAGAGUAUGGGAGAGGAUGGUAGAAUUCCAGGUGUAGCGGUGAAAUGCGUAGAGAUCUGGAGGAAUACCGAUGGCGAAGGCAGCCAUCUGGCCUAAUACUGACGCUGAGGUAC
rnacentral:rRNA from 1 species